ACGCACGCUGGCGGCAUGCCUAACACAUGCCAGUCGCACGAGACCUUCGGGUCUAGUGGCGCACGGGUGCGUAACGCGUGGGAACCUGCCCUUAGGUUCGGAAUAACUCCCCGAAAGGGGUGCUAAUACCGGAUAAUGUCUUCGGACCAAAGAUUUAUCGCCUUUGGAUGGGCCCGCGUUGGAUUAGCUAGUUGGUAGGGUAAAAGCCUACCAAGGCGACGAUCCAUAGCUGGUCUGAGAGGAUGAUCAGCCACACUGGGACUGAGACACGGCCCAGACUCCUACGGGAAGCAGCAGUGGGGAAUAUUGGACAAUGGGCGAAAGCCUGAUCCAGCAAUGCCGCGUGAGUGAUGAAGGCCUUAGGGUUGUAAAGCUCUUUUACCCGGGAUGAUAAUGACAGUACCGGGAGAAUAAGCUCCGGCUAACUCCGUG
rnacentral:rRNA from 1 species